GAGACAAAUCAUACUUACAUUGAUAAGUGGAAAUAAAACUUACACGGAUUUAAAAACUCAUGGUCCUUGUGCAAACGGGUUCAUUGGUAAUGUAGAAACUGACUAUGCUCUUUGUUUUCAUUGUUCCUACUGGCCUCGGUCAUCUUGUUCUUGGAAACAAAGAUGUACCCUACAUAACUGGCCUCAAAACCACGUUUUUUAUGACAUUCUGAGUAAUGGUUGUCAUUUUGUGCCUGUCGGAAUUAAAACUGCAGACGGUGAAAAUGAACUGGACUGGAGAUUAUCCUUUUCUCAGGCAGAACAAAAACUGAUCUAUUCCAUGAACCAUACCCAAUUUUUGUGUUAUGGCCUUUUAAAAAUAUUUUUAAAAGAAGUCGUCAAUCGCAACAUAGAAGAACCAUUCCUGUGUUCAUAUUUUGCAAAAACUACUUUGUUCUGGCUGAUACAAAUAGGAAAUAUUACAUGGUGUCCAAAUAACUUACUGGAUUGUUUCUGGAAAUGUUUCAAAUAUCUAUAUCAUUGCGUUCAUCGAGGCGUGCUUCCUAAUUUUUUUAUCCCACAAAAUAAUAUGUUUGCCGGAAAGUUGUCCACAGUUAGAGGUGCACGCACACGACAGUGUCUAUUAGAACAACUGAACGGGUAUUAUGAAAUGGGCGUGACCUGCUUGUUACAAAGUACGACGGUCAGAGCAAUGAUUGAGCCAGUUAUAUGCAACAGCUUUUUCAGAGUAGAGCCACUUCUGGGUCAUAUCAAGAGUGUCGCUGAUACAGACGCUUGUAUCAAUUGGGAAAUAUGUUGUAUUGAAUUUCCAUUAGAAAACAGUAGAACAAACUUUCUUAUUCUGAGGUUCAUAACAGUUUUGUCAAAUCUAUCACUCACAGAAUAUGAGACGUUAGCAUUACAGAGAUAUACGGUAGAUGUUUUGGUAAAAACAGCAUUUUUAUAUCUCAAUAGUUUAACAGAAAAUACAAAUAAGGCAGUCUACAGAUCAGACAGACUGAUUGGUAACGUGUUGAAGCUGGCAGGUAGAGUGGGUGAUGUGUCUCGUUUGUUGUACCUUGCUCUGUAUUACUACAGAACAUGUAGAUAUAGAGAGGCGCUUCAUGUUACAGCUCUGGUUAAAUCAAGACUCACAAAGCCCUAUAUCAUGUAUAACGGAGUAGACCGAGUAAGGUACAAUGAAUCAGUGGCUGGUUGGUCUCUGUCUAAACGCAUGAAGAAAGCUUGGGUAAACGAUGUACGUCUUUAUAAUGAUGUUUAUUAUAUCCAGGAACUAGCUUUAGAACAGAAUGUAAGCAACGAAAACGGUCACCCAUUCCUGUAUAUUUCACCCUAUGUACUGACAGACAUGUUAAGUGCGUUAUGUAACUACAGACUAGGUAACCGGUCCCAGUGUCUACAGUCACUGACAGACCUACAGACACUGCUGCUCUAUGAUGACGGGGGAUAUGUAGAUUCAGAUACUAGAGACAUCUCGUGGCAGAUACUGGGGAUCUGUCAGCACGUUGUGGGGAACCUACACGGGGCGUUACAGUCGUAUCAACAGUCACUGAGACAGGAACCAUACCACAAAAUACAGAAUGCCACAAAAUAUAGAAUAGCACUAGUUUUGAAUCAAUUAAACCAGUGAAACAGCGAUACGAAUUAUCGAGUUGCAUUCAUUAUGGUAAAUCAUGAACUGUAUAAUAAUACAUGUACUGUUAAUUUACAUACCAGGAAAAAUAUUUUUGAUUCAUCAAAUUGUUAGUUGUUACCAAUUUUCUGAGCAGAGGCAUUGAUUUAACAGAAAUGCGAGUUUGUACUACUUGACUGUAAAUGAAAAUAGAGUAACGGAAAUGAAAUGACAAUUUGCUCUUUGUUUUUACAUGUGAACCAACCACCUCUAUUCCCCAAGUAUUUAGAACCCCGGGACUUAACUUAUUUUUCAUCAAAGUAUCCUUUUAUGUCAUAUUUGUAAACUAAUGUGUACAUUCAAUGCACAGUUAAGCAUUGAAUCCGUAUUCUUUGAAAGAUAUGGUCUCAUAACUGCAACGGUGUGUGCAUCCAAAUUAAAAAUGCGCGCUAGUGCAUUAUGAAAAGUUGUUCGAUUUAUUCUAGACUAAUAUGCAUGUGUACACUGAAUUGAUUUAGUAUCAUGUUUGUAUUUAUUGUACCAUUCAUUACAAUAUUUUGUGAUUAAAAUACUUGUAAACUG
rnacentral:misc_RNA from 1 species